rnacentral:rRNA from 1 species
UACGGGGGGAGCAAGCGUUGUUCGGAUUUACUGGGCGUAAAGGGCGCGUAGGCGGCCAGCGCAAGUCAGUUGUGAAAUCUCCGGGCUUAACUCGGAACGGUCAACUGAUACUGCGCGGCUAGAGUGCAGAAGGGGCAACUGGAAUUCUCGGUGUAGCGGUGAAAUGCGUAGAUAUCGAGAGGAACACCUGCGGCGAAGGCAGCUCGCUGGAACGGUACUGACGCUGAGGCGCGAAAGCGUGGGGAGCGAACAGG